rnacentral:snRNA from 1 species
AUUGCUUCUCAGCCUUUUGGCUAAGAUCAAGUGUAAUAUUUGUUCUUACCAGAAUCUCCAUUUUAACAAGAACCCAGGGAAGUCUAGGAAUCACUACUCUAGGGUCUGCUUUAGGGCUU